AUUGAACGCUGGCGGCAGGCCUAACACAUGCAAGUCGAGCGGAGCGGCGGACGGGUGAGUAAUGCCUAGGAAUCUGCCUGUUAGUGGGGGAUAACGUCCGGAAACGGGCGCUAAUACCACAUACUAUCAGAUGAGCCUAGGUCGGAUUAGCUAGUGGGUGGGGUAAAGGCCUACCAAGGCGACGAUCCGUAACUGGUCUGAGAGGAUGAUCAGUCACACUGUGACGGAGACACGGUCCAGACUCCUACGGGAGGCAGCAGUGGGGAAUAUUGGGCAAUGGGCGAAAGCCUGAUCCAGCCAUGCCGCGUGUGUGAAGAAGGUCUUCGGAUUGUAAAGCACUGUAAGUUGGGAGGCGGUACCAACAGAAUAAGCACCGGCUAACUUCGUGCCAGCAGCCGCGGUAAUUC
rnacentral:rRNA from 1 species